GUGGGGAAUAUUGCACAAUGGGCGAAAGCCUGAUGCAGCGACGCCGCGUGAGCGAAGAAGUAUUUCGGUAUGUAAAGCUCUAUCAGCAGGGAAGAUAAUGACGGUACCUGACUAAGAAGCACCGGCUAAAUACGUGCCAGCAGCCGCGGUAAUACGUAUGGUGCAAGCGUUAUCCGGAUUUACUGGGUGUAAAGGGAGCGCAGGCUGUGCGGCAAGUCGGAUGUGAAAGCCCGGGGCUCAACCCCGGUACUGCAGUGGAAACUGUCGUACUAGAGUGUCGGAGGGGUAAGCGGAAUUCCUAGUGUAGCGGUGAAAUGCGUAGAUAUUAGGAGGAACACCAGUGGCGAAGGCGGCUUGCUGGACGACAACUGACGCUGAGGCGCGAAAGCGUGGGGAGCAAACAGGAUUAGAUACCCUGAGUCC
rnacentral:rRNA from 1 species